rnacentral:lncRNA from 1 species
UAAUAAGUGAAAAUUUUUAUUAUCUUGUCGAGUUACUUUGAGUUCGAUACAAUAACUUGUUCUUAUCGUUUAAAUAUUAAAUUAUAGGAAGGGAGUUGGAAGAGGUUGAGAUGGAAGGUCGAUCUCUAAGAGUGAGUCUAAAUGAUUAUAGUGGAGCCACGGCCAAUCAUGGACAUGAUCCAGGGACUAAACCGAGUUCCGGCAGCCGAGCUGGUGGCCGAAAAACCCAUCACCGACUCUAAAUAAAUGUGCUCAGGGUGUCAUUGCUAGUAUAUAUUAAUUGUUCGAGGUGGACUUUAUCAUCUAUCUUGUUUGAUUAUGCAUAAUUGAUUGUGAAUUGUAUUGAUUAUGUAAUUUGAGGUAACAAUUAAUAGAUCAAAAUAAGUUAUAUGAUUGUAAUAAACUGUGCUACAACUACAAAAUUU